CAGUAGCCGCGGUAAUGCGAAGGGGGCUAGCGUUGUUCGGAACUACUGGGCGUAAAGCGCACGUAGGCGGAUAUUUAAGUCAGGGGUGAAAUCCCGCAGCUCAACUGCGGAACUGCCUUUGAUACUGGGUAUCUUGAGUAUGGAAGAGGUUAGUGGAAUUGCGAGUGUAGAGGUGAAAUUCGUAGAUAUCGAGAGGAACACUCGUGGCGAAGGCGAGCUACUGUACAACAUCUGACGCUGAGGCUCGAAGGCUAGGGUAGCGAAAGGGAUUAGAUACCCCGGUAGUCCCUGUCUCUUAUAC
rnacentral:rRNA from 1 species